AUUGAACGCUAACGGCAUGCUUAACACAUGCAAGUCGAACGGCAGCACAGUCGUAGCAAUACGAUGGGUGGCGAGUGGCGGACGGGUGAGUAAUAUAUAGGAAUCUGCCUUGUAGUGGGGGAUAACCCGGGGAAACUCGGGAUAAUACCGCAUAAUCAUUACGAAGCAAAGUGGGGGAUCGUAAGAACCCAAGCUCUAAGAUGAGACUAUAUUGGAUUAGCUAGUGGGUGGGGUAAAGGCCUACCAAGGCGAAGAUCCGUAGCUGGUCUGAGAGGAUGAUCCGCCACACGGGGACUGAGACACGGCCCAGACUCCAACGGGAGGCAGCAGUGGGGAAGAUUGGGCAAUGGGCGGAAGCCUGAUCCAGCCAUGCCGCGUGUGUGAAGAAGGCCUUUUGGUUGUAAAGCGCUUUAAGCGAGGAGGAGGCUACUAGUACUAAUACUACUGGAUAGUGGACGUUACUCGCAGAAUAAGCACCGGCUAACUCGGUGCCAGCAGCCGCUGUAA
rnacentral:rRNA from 1 species